GAAACCUGUAUUUGAAAGAAGUCAAUAUUAUCCAAAUUAAGAAUUGUUUUGGAGAACAAAUACUGAAUUGCAGCUUCCCCCCAACAAAGUAUUAGGGAAAAAAGUUCCAAAAUUCCAAAUUUUUUCCAAAUGUACAUUUUUUUAGCUUUAUUUUGCAGUAGUCUUGCCCUUAAAAAAAAAAAGGCAGAAAAUCCCACCCUAAAUAAAAAACCGAACCACUUUAAAAUAAAAUGAGCAAGAGAUGAUCAGACAUGGCAUGCAAAUAUCUAAACCAGCAACCAUUUGCUGAACCCCUCAUGCUAAAUCCUUUCUCAACAAACCUUGGAUGCUGUACAUCUGCCUGUUCUGUGAAAGCAAUAAACCACCUCAUAAAAAGGCCAAUUUAUAUAACUGUUUAUGCAGACAAUUUGUUCAGAUCAAUUGAUUUCAUGUGAAAAGCAUUUGUUUGUCUGUUAAUGUAGUACUAAGAUACAAGCUCUAAUUUCAGCAAAGGUGCUGUCUUAUAUUUUUUUAUGUAUGUAUAUAUAUACUUACAUAUAAUAUAUAAUGUAUUUAUGUAUUUUAUAUAUAAUGCAUUUAUGCUUGAGAGAGAGUAAGAGAGAAGGAUGGAGCUGCAGCCACACAGGUCACAGCAGCCUGUAUGAAGACUAGAGUUCAGUGAGAUCAAAAUUGCAAAACCAUCAGCUUUCAAUAGUCAGAUGUCUUACAAAGGGAUAUCUGAACCUGUGAAAUGCCAGGCAGCUAUGCCUAGAUACUCCAUCACUAUCAGUCCAAGACAAGAGUCUGGUAAGGAAAACUAAAUUACUGGGAUCAGAUUAAUUUAAAUCCCUGUUAACCAGUAAUCCCAAAUAUUUGUAAGUGGAGCUUACCUAAGAUCUCACAGGAGAAGACCACCAACUCAAAGGUUUUAGUGUUUUCUAUGAAAAAUAUCAAGUUGAAAAGGCAAUAACUGUCUCACACUGAGAUAUGCAGAUUCAGCCUUUCCUAAAAAGGAUAAAGCUGCAAGAGUGUUCAUGUCCUUACUAAAUGGUAGCACUGUUCUUCUAUCUGUUCUUCAUAAAGAAGCCUAACACAAAAUUAAAUGUCUGCAUUUCUGCUGUCUCCAUCCUAAAGCAAAUCCAUUUGAUCACUCGGACAUGCACUUUGACUACAAAAUAGUUUUUUUAAUGUUUCAGGUAAUUUUGGGCUUAACUCCAAAAUUUAAUUGUCUCUCGGAUUUUGUAUUUCUUAAACUGGAAGGAAAUACCAGCAUAGAUAUCUAAUAAUUACUGUUAGAAAAAAGCUGGCUUUCCAUUCCUUAUUGGUACAAACCCAUCAGUUCAAGUGGUAACAGGAGCAGAUCAAUGCCUCAUACCUUAGACUGACAUGACAAACAGCUUUUUGACAAAAUUUACUGCACACAAUAUAGUCAUUAACAUUCAGAUUAGUCAUCUUGAACCAUUUGUUAAGCAGUUUUUCUUUGCUUCCAGUAAAAGCCUUAACUUUCUUUUAUUCUAUUUUCAGACACUUCUGAAGCGACAAACUAACCAUAAAAGAAACUGCUAUACCAGUCUUAAGAUUUUUAUGACUGUAAUAUCAAUGGCAAAAUGCUCUAGAAAAAAGUAUUACUUAAUACUCAAGAAUGAGUUUUAAACCAUUAAGUUUUGAAUUGCAUGCUAAAUAUUACCCAGAUUAUAUUUGCAAUUAGUAGCAUCAUGCAUAUCUGACAAGAGAUCCAGGUCUUUUAUAAAGGAAAAUGUGAGCAGGUAAAAUUUGAUUGCUUUCUUGCUGUAAUUUUCUGUAAAAAAUGUAUCCUAUUUAAUUGAUGUAAUACCUAAUGAUGCUAGAAAGAUACAUAGAUGUGCAUAACUGUAUCAUGUUUCUGCUGUAAGUGAAUAAGAGGACUGUAAUGAGAAAAUAUGACAAGGAUUUCUUGAUCAGUUAUAUCUGUAAGCCAGUGGUUUAAAACUGAUGCAGUUUAUGGCAAUGGAAUACCCAUGAAACCUUUUACUCCUCACGUUAAACAAGAUAAAAGAGUCCUUUAACUUUUUCUUAUUUUCUUCCCAUCCUAACAAUAUGAAUAAUGAGAAACAUGAGUGGCAACAACAGAUGCAGAUGCUAUUGAAGAGUGAUCCCAACGUGGCUCCAGGUUAUGACAAGGUUUUGCAGACUCUCUGACUACGUCUUUCCCAAGACUCAAAAGGAGGAGCAAUGCAGUGGCUGGUACCCAUUUCAGCUUGUUUCUCCCCAGAGAAGCAAACCUCCAUUGGUAAAACACACUGAGGUGAAGAAAUGAUUUGACUGCACUGGGCGGCAGCACAAGCGGGAGUGAAGCGCCGCCGGGGAAUGUCCCUGAGACGCCGCUUCCCUGCCCGGGCUGUGCCGCACCCCGUCCUCCGUCCCUUCAGCACCACCCGCCGCGGACAGGACGCGUUCCCGGCGCCGCCGCUGCUCCGCUCUCGCCCGGCGGAACCAGAGGGAGAACGCGCCGUGUUCAACCCUCUCCUGCUCCUCGUCCCCUCCGGCACUCACCUGCACCCGGGCUUCCGUCAGGUCAAGGCGCAGGGCCAGCUCCUCUCUGCGGGAAGAGCACUCAGUUAGAGCCGGAGCUCGCCCGCCGCCCCGGCCCGGCCGCGCCCGCCCCUCCCGCCGCUACCUGGUGAACACGUCGGGGUAGUGGGACUUGCAGAAGGCGCGCUCCAGCUCCUCCAGCUGGAACGUGCUGAACGUGGUGCGGUACCGCCGCUGCUUCCUCUUCACCGGGCCCGGUGCCUCGGAGCCGGGCGGGCGCUCCUCGCGCUCCUCCGCCUGCGGCUCCUCCGCGGGGCUGCGCGCUCGGCCGGGCCGCGGCGUCUCCGCGCGUUCCGCGCCUGAGGGACACAACCGCGGAGUUACCGGGGCGGGCGGGCGUGCAGCGACCCCGCCGCCCCUCGCCGGGCCACCUCUGACCGUGCCGCCCUCCCCGCCGCCCCUCACCGUGCCGGCCCGCGGCGGGGCCCCGGCCCAGGAUGCUGUCGAUGAAGUAGGAGGUGAGGAGGUGCAGGGCCGGCGGGGCGGCGGGGGCCGCGCUCUGCAUGGCUGCGGGCAGGGCCCCCGCGCCGCGCCGCGUUUUAUGGGCGCGGGCAGCGCCCGGCUCCGCGCCCCGGCAUUAGCAUUUCAUUAGCGCGUGGCGUCAAGGCCGGGGGUGGGACGCGCCGUGCAGGAGCCGGGCCACCUCCCCCGGGCGGGCACAGAACCGUUCGCUGCCCUGGGGCCCUACCGCCCGCUCUCUCCGCUCCCGCAGGCCGGCCGUAACUUUCUGAAGCCUCGUUCGGGGGCGCGGAGCGGCUGCGGUGAAGUUGUGCCGGUGCUCGCCGCGGUGCGGGAGAGCCGUGCCCGGCUCCUCGAGAGGUGAGGGUGGGUCCGCAGUGAGUGCUGGGGGAUCCGGCUGAGACCCAGGAGUGAAGGAAAAGGGUCACCAGUGUUCACCUUUAGUGCUCCUCAAAGGGUGAGGAUGGGUCAGCAGCGAGGGCUGAGCGACCCUGCUCAGAUCCAGGAGUGAGGGAGAAGAGUCACUAGUGUUCACCUUUAUUGCUCCUCAUGACCUAACACUUGUUGAAUUCAGCUUUUUAAGGCUGACCUUGCAAAGUACCGUGUGCCAGUAGGUGAAGGGAAAGUGCACAAACCCGUGCAAGUCCGAGUCUUUUUUUCAUGGAGAUCUCUAAUUCCACUCCUGCUGUAAUGAUGCUGUCGGUGCUGUUACAGCAAUGGUUCCUCAACAGGAGGCCUGGAAAUGAUUUCCUGCACAGGGAGACUUCCAGCAGUUUGGUGAUCUUACCGUAGUGUACUGAUAGAGACUGUCAUAAAUGAGAUGACAAAAUGACAAAAUGAGAUCUUGAUUUUGGGGGAUAAGAAUGAAAUACUACUUUCUAGAGAGUCUUACAGAGAGUACAGCAAAAAAAGGGCUAAGAACCCCCAAACCCCAGAAAUAGUGGCUGAAAGCUGAAGCCAGAAAAAUUUAGAUUAGAAAUAAGGCAAAGAUUUAAAAAUCUGUAUGUUUAUAUCUAAGUUUUGAAACAAGAGUGGUGGAGUUCUGUCUUCUCUGUCUUCAUAUCAAGUCUGGAUUAGUUUACAUUCUAGCUGAAGACAUAGAGUCUGUCAGUGCAGAAAUGCUUCCUUACUCUGUGACCUGUCAAAAAUCUUUUGGUUACUCCUGGCAUUGCAGCCCACAGGCAAAUUUUUUUUCAGUUUUUUCCUUCUCUCCUCUCACCUUACUGGGGCUGUGUGACCGCUUUAGUGCUUCUAUCUUUGUACUCACAGAGCUCCUUGCUGUCUCUCUGUUCUGCUGCAGGGCUCUUCUUUGACUCAGACCUUGACUUCAUUCCUUUCACUACCAUUUGGUUUGGCCUGGGGCAAUACCUUUGUGAACCUAUUCCUGUGGCAUUCUCUAUGAGAAGGUUUGGGACAGCACUUUGUGAUGCUAACUCUUGAAAAAGUAAGGUGCUUGUAUGAAAGAUGACUCCAGCAAAAUUUACAGAAGGUGGUUUUUUUUUUAACAUGGUGUUUUUCUUGACAUUUCCGAGUUUAUUGCCCUAUUCAUAUCCUGAUCCUAAGUUCUAAAGCUGAGACUGCCACAUUCACCCUUAAUUGUGUUCAAAGGGCUAGGGACUCAUUUGUGUUGGGAAAAACAGUGACUCUAUGCAUCCUAUGGACCAAAUGCUGUCAACUUCAGGAAACAAGAUUUGAGCGAUCUAAUUUCCUCUGACUAAAGAAACUGUCAGAACUUCAUAAGGAAUGUCCUGGAUAUGAAGUAGCCAGUGACAAAUUUGUUAUAUAGUUACAAAUGUGUUACAGUUGCACAUGUGUCUAUGGUCAAAGAGAAGCCCCUGCAUCUUGGAGAGCAUGCCCAGGAAUUCCAGUGGGAUCUCCCAGAAGCCAGAAGUGACUAACUUUUGUUACUUCUGUGUUCCAUACAAACCAAAUCCAUGAACAACAGCAGAUAAAGCUUCUGUUAGGAGCUGCAGGGGUGGCCUCUGUGAGAAGCUUCCUGCACAUUCAACAAGCCAAUGCCAGCUGGCUCCAGGAUGGACUCACUGCUGGCCAAAGCUGAGUUCAUCAGCAAUGCUGGUAGCACCUCUGGGACAACAGGAUUAAGAAGAGGAGAAAACCUGCACAACAGCAACUGCAACCAGAGGGAGGAGUGAGAAUAUGAGAAGAACAGCUCUGCAGACACCCAGGUCAGUGAAGAAGAAUGGCAGGAAGUUCUCCAGGUGCCAGAGCAGAGACUCCCCUGCAGCCUGUGGUGCAAAGCUGAGGUGAGGCAGCUGUGCCCUGGAGCCUGUGGGCGUCCAUGGUGGAGCCGAGAUCCACCUGCAGCCCAGGGAGAACCCCAAGCUGGAGCAGGUGGAUGUACCCAAAGGAGUUUAUGACCCUGUGGGGGCCAGUGCAGGAGUUGGUUUGCUGGCAGAAGUUGUGACUCCAUGGGGGACCCACUCAGGAACAGUCUGUUCCUGAAGGACUGCAGCCAGGGGUGGAUGAGACUCAUACUGGAGAGGAUCCAGGACAGCUGUCCCCACCUGACCAAAGGGGUAUCCCAGAGCAUUUGAUGUCUGCUCAGCAAUAAAGGCUAAGGGAAAAGGGUGUAGGGCAUUUAUUAUUAUGAAAAUUGUCUUCUAGAACAGCUGUUGCAUGGGCUGAAGCCCUACUUCCCCAAAAGUAGCUGGAUAUGGUCUGCUAAUGGGAAAUAGAGAAUAAAUCUUUUGUCUUCCUUUGCUUCUCUGCCUGGCCUAUGCUUUUGCAUUAUUAAACUGUGUUUAUUUUAGCCCAAUAUUAUUUUCAUCCUAUUUUCUCCCCUCUUUAUCAAAGAGGGAAGACAGCAGCUUGGUAGGCAACUUGUGUUUAGUCAAAGCCAACCCGCAAUACAUUUGUAUUUUUCAGAUGUCCUCAGGCAGGCCACAUUUACACUGCUGACUGAUGUUUGAGUUGUUAUUUUGGAUUUGUAUUGUGUCUUGUCAUGAGCUGAGCAACCUAUGUUAUAGUUGCUGCAUAAUAGCAUUUAAAAAUGCCCUAAAAGAGUGUGAUUUAAAUACAUUUUCAUUACUUUGUGUUUAACCAAUCUUAUUGCUACUGCAUUCUUGGUUUUCUGUGGCUCCCAUACAAAGUAAAAUGUGAGAGAUGAAUCACAAAGCUCACCUUGUCCAUGGAGUGUUGGAAAGAUGAAGGGAAGAAUAUGCAUCUGUUUGUGGAUGACAGAAGAGCUCCAACUGCAUGAGGGGCACUGGUGUUUGCUGUGCUUGAAAUGUCUCUUGGCAUGUUGAGGCCUGAAGAUCUGCAUGAAUUGAAGAUCAGCACCUCUCCUUCGUUUUAUGGGAUUAGAUCUAGGUUGUGUGUGGCAAUCCUGUAAACACUGGGAAAAUGCAAGACUGAAUAUUGUGGUACAGCCUUACUUGGUUUCUCUCAAGCCAAUUGAUACUUAUUAUACCAACUGCACCAGAAUGCAGUAACUCUUUUGUAAUGGAAUCACAGUAAGCUGGUUUCCCAUUUCAGUUAAUAACUUGUGAAAAUAAUGUAAGUGCUUUUUGCUGAUGAGGCAUACGUGACUGCUUGGAAAAGAAUGUGUGUGCAGUACAUGGCAAUUCAGCUUCCCUUUCUGUGCUGCAUAUUCAAAAGCACAAUAAAAUAUUAGUUGAAAGAAGAAUAAGAUAAGAAUUGGAAUUUGCUGACUAUGGAGAAGGCAUUGUGUUGAGAUGGCAGCCACUGCUGUCACUGUGCUCAUUCUGACCAACCCACCUGGAGCAGAUGCCCCUCUCUUGUGUCCUCAUCCUAAUCUUUUGGCAGUCUCACUUCCAGAUCUCUUCCUUCCCCCUCUGCAGACCUUUGAUUUUAUGCAGACAAGUGGAGAGCCUCAGUCUUCCCUUUGUGCAGUUGUUCUUGAAGGAGACAGACAGACAGAUAGAUAGAUAAUUAGUUCUUGAAAGGCUGGUAUGUAAAAGGUUCCUGUUGAAGUGACAUGAAAGUGUUGCAAGAUACCUGGAAUGACCUAAACAUACUGCACUGGGUGCUCUCCCAGCAGUUGCUGUAGUUAUUUCUCAAACCCUUCAGGUAAAAAGUGAAGAGCUCCUUGGUGCACAGGUAUCUCUAGCAGUGCUGUUAUGAUAAAUUAAUAUUUACUGGAUCUGCCAAAGCCACUCCUUUGGGGUCACAAUUAAAUGAGGCUCUCAUCUCUUCUAAAAGGUUAAAAAAAAAAAGUAUGUUUUAACAUCUCAAAGUUUCUAGACUCUGCAUUUAUGGAGCAAAAAAUGGUAACACCCAGGGUCCCAGAAGACCAAGAAUAAGUAAAAAGGAUGCAAUACUAAUUUUUUUUUCUUAGAAAGUGCUAGAUAGUAGACUAAACCCCCAUUUUUUAUCUCUGUUUAAGGAUUCCUAUUUUACUAUUUCCUAGUGAUGUUAGUCCUCUAUCAUGUUUGCAUAUUCCUAGAGUGAAAAUUACUUUUUUUUCAAAUUACUUUUUUUAGAGGCUGACUACCAAUGUUGGACUAGACUUGGAGGACCACAUUCCUUCUUCCUUUGCUGGUCCUUGACAACAAAUCACCACUUCUACAUGCAUCAUUUAUUCAUAUGUGAAAUUGGAAUGGUCACACACUCUUUGCUACUAAAUUACCUCUGAGAAAGCUGGGUCUGUUUAGAAUAAUAUUUAGAAUAAACACAGUUGAUGUUUAUCCAUUUACAAUAUUAAAAUGUGCUGUACAAAACCA